rnacentral:tRNA from 1 species
GAGGAUAUAGCUCAGUGGUAGAGUGUAUGCUUAACCUGCAUGAGGUCCAGGGUUCAAUCCCCAGUACCUCCA